AUCAACUUUCGAUGGUAGGAUAGAGGCCUACCAUGGUGGUAACGGGUAACGGGGUGUUAGGGCACGACACCGGAGAGGGAGCCUGAGAAACGGCUACCACAUCCAAGGAUGGCAGCAGGCGCGCAAAUUACCCAAUCCCGACACGGGGAGGUAGUGACAAUAAAUAACAAUACGGGGUUCUUUCGGAUUUCGUAAUUGGAAUGAGUACAAUUUAAAUCUCUUAACGAGGAACAAUUGGAGGGCAAGUCUGGUGCCAGCAGCCGCGGUAAUUCCAGCUCCAAUAGCGUAUAUUAAAGUUGCUGCAGUUAAAAAGCUCGUAGUUGAAUUUCGGGACCAUCAUGUCGGUCGUGCCUAGGUACGUACUGGCAUUGUUGGUUUCUCCCUUCUGACGAACCAUGAUGUCAUUUAUUUGGUGUUGUGGGGAAUCAGGACUGUUACUUUGAAAAAAUUAGAGUGUUUAAAGCAGGCUCACGCUUGAAUACAUUAGCAUGGAAUAAUGAAAUAGGACGUUUGAUUCUAUUUUGUUGGUUUCUAGGAUCGACGUAAUGAUUAAUAGGGAUAGUUGGGGGCAUUAGUAUUCAAUUGUCAGAGGUGAAAUUCUUGGAUUUAUUGAAGACUAACUACUGCGAAAGCAUUUGCCAAGGAUGUUUUCAUUAAUCAAGAACGAAAGUUAGGGGAUCGAAGACGAUCAGAUACCGUCGUAGUCUUAACCAUAAACUAUGCCGACUAGGGAUCGGAUGAUGUUAAUUUUUUAAUGACUCAUUCGGCGCCUUACGGGAAACCAAAGUGUUUGGGUUC
rnacentral:rRNA from 1 species